rnacentral:rRNA from 1 species
AGUUUGAUCCUGGCUCAGAUUGAACGCUGGCGGCAGGCCUAACACAUGCAAGUCGAGCGGUAACAGAGAGUAGCUUGCUACUUUGCUGACGAGCGGCGGACGGGUGAGUAAUGCUUGGGAACAUGCCUUGAGGUGGGGGACAACAGUUGGAAACGACUGCUAAUACCGCAUAAUGUCUACGGACCAAAGGGGGCUUCGGCUCUCGCCUUUAGAUUGGCCCAAGUGGGAUUAGCUAGUUGGUGAGGUAAUGGCUCACCAAGGCGACGAUCCCUAGCUGGUUUGAGAGGAUGAUCAGCCACACUGGGACUGAGACACGGCCCAGACUCCUACGGGAGGCAGCAGUGGGGAAUAUUGCACAAUGGGCGCAAGCCUGAUGCAGCCAUGCCGCGUGUGUGAAGAAGGCCUUCGGGUUGUAAAGCACUUUCAGUCAGGAGGAAAGCGUGGUGGUUAAUACCCAUCAUGUGUGACGUUACUGACAGAAGAAGCACCGGCUAACUCCGUGCCAGCAGCCGCGGUAAUACGGAGGGUGCGAGCGUUAAUCGGAAUUACUGGGCGUAAAGCGUACGCAGGCGGUUUGUUAAGCGAGAUGUGAAAGCCCCGGGCUCAACCUGGGAACUGCAUUUCGAACUGGCAAACUAGAGUGUGAUAGAGGGUGGUAGAAUUUCAGGUGUAGCGGUGAAAUGCGUAGAGAUCUGAAGGAAUACCGAUGGCGAAGGCAGCCACCUGGGUCAACACUGACGCUCAUGUACGAAAGCGUGGGGAGCAAACGGGAUUAGAUACCCCGGUAGUCCACGCCGUAAACGAUGUCUACUAGAAGCUCGGAGCCUCGGUUCUGUUUUUCAAAGCUAACGCAUUAAGUAGACCGCCUGGGGAGUACGGCCGCAAGGUUAAAACUCAAAUGAAUUGACGGGGGCCCGCACAAGCGGUGGAGCAUGUGGUUUAAUUCGAUGCAACGCGAAGAACCUUACCUACACUUGACAUACAGAGAACUUACCAGAGAUGGUUUGGUGCCUUCGGGAACUCUGAUA